UUUAUAUCAUUAGCGAUGGGUCGGUCAUUUGGCACACUCGCUCAGUAUCAGCCGCGGUCGUCCGACGUUGAGUGGUCUUGAUUCGCGCGGAGCUGCAUUCUCUGCUCUCUUUAUCGCUGCCCCAACUCUGACGACACCUUUUAAAAUUUUAGGGGAUGCCGGCGCAACAUGCCACUUCUUGCGGUUGGUGGUUCUGCAGACCGCGAUGGUUGCAAGGGUUCGCCACCACUAAAACUUUUUUGGUGGUCUUCGGCCUCCUGGGCACUGUCCAGACCAUGUCCUACGUUUACUUCGUGGCCACACUCACCACCAUGGAGAGGAGGUUCAAGAUCCCCAGCAAGACGACCGGGCUGAUGCUGAGCGGCAACGAGAUCAGCCAGAUCCUUUUGUCACUGGUCUUGACCUACUUUGGGGGCCGCGGCAACCGUCCGCGCUGGAUCGCGGCUGGGGUGGCCAUCUCGGCUUUGUCGUGCUUCAUCCUGGCCUUGCCGCACCUGGUCUACGGGCCCGGCAGGUCGGCCCUGGCGCUGACCAAGGAGUUCCACGGCGAGGUGAACAAUACGUACCUGCAGAGCAGCAUCAUCGCGCUGACCAGCCCCAUCUGCGGCACCGCGUUCUCCGAGCGACAAACGCAGAUCGAGCAGAGUUGCACCUCCGAGGACGAGAACAACAGCACUGACGGCAAUUAUUCGCUUGUGCCCAUCCUGCUUGUCUUCCUCUCGCAGUUUGUGCUCGGCAUCGGCUCCACGCUCUACUGGGCCCUCGGACAAAUCUACCUCGACGACAAUGCGGGCAAAGCGAAAACGCCGCUCUUUUUAGGUUUGACCCUGGCUCUGCGUACCCUGGGCCCGGCGUUCGGCUUCGUCAUCGCGUUCGGCUGCCUGAACAUCUACAUCGACCCGUUCGUGACGCCGACCAUCAGCAUGUCGGACCCGCGCUGGCUGGGCGCCUGGUGGCUCGGCUGGAUCUUCCUCGGCGUCAUGAUGCUCGUGUUCGCGGUGCUGAUCUCACUUUUCCCGCACGAACUGCCGCCCAAGGCGAGCAAGAAGGGCAGCAAGCUGCAGGCGCCCCUGCUGACACAGCGAGAGCCCGAGAAACCAGGUUUCAAAGAAUUCCCGAGGGCUCUGAAGCGGAUUUUAAGCAACAAGCUGCUGAUGACAAACAUUGCGUCUUCCACUUUUUACAUUCUUGGGGCUUCGGGUUACAUCACCUAUGUCACCAAGUACAUGGAAGUGCAGUACAACAAAACGGCUGCCAACGCCGGAAUACUUGCAGGCACAUCUGGGCUGCUCGCGAUGACCCUCGGCUUCCUCGUGUCCGGAUACGUCAUUUCAAAAUUCCAGCCAAGGGCUAAAUACGUCCUCGGCUGGAACGUGGUUACCGGUCUCACGUACAUUUUAGCAGAAAUUUCAUUCAUUUUUAUCGGCUGCCCGGACGUCUUAGUCCAAGGCUUCAAUACAUUUGGCGAGCCGUUCAAUCUGACUUCCGAGUGCAACGCGGCGUGCAGCUGCCCCGACAACCUGCAUUUCUCGCCGAUUUGCAUAAACGAAACCACCUUUUUCUCAGCCUGCCAUGCUGGCUGCCAAAAUAUAUUCGAGGGGCCAGAGGGAACAAAUCGGAAUGUUACCUUUUCCCAAUGCUCGUGCGCCGCGUCCAGUUUUUUAAAGCAGUUUACAGAUUCUGAAAGUUUCGGCGAUUUGCUGGCAACCGAAGGAACGUGCAUUCCCGAGUGCCCCAACAUGUUCCUUUGGUUCCUCAUUGGAACCUACAUCAUGCACAUGAUCGGAAGUUCAGGCAAGGUCGGAAAUAUUCUAGUCAAUUUCAGAUGCGUAGAUCCCAUAGACAAGGCGUUCGCACAAGGUCUGGCGUUGGUGGUGAUCAGCCUUUUUGCAUUUAUCCCAGGGCCGAUUAUAUUCGGAGCUCUAAUUGACGCUUCCUGUUUGAUUUGGGACCAGUCGUGCGGCAAGAAGGGCAACUGCGCCCUUUAUCAAAGGUCCUUCUACAGAUAUUACAUGAACGUCGGCGCAGCAGCAAUAACGAGCAUAGCUGUGGUGCUCGACGUGGUGGUGUGUUACAUGGGGAGAGAUCUGGAUUUAUACGGAGAAGAGGAAGAGGAGCAGCCGCAGCACAAGAGACAAAUUCACCGAAAGGCAUAGCACUCAACCUUUUUUGUUACACUUUGUUUUUAUCGUUUAUGAGUAAAAUGCGGUGAAGCAUUUGAAACGCGAGGAUCUCAGCGGGAAAGUCGAGCAAUUGCACGCUGAUUAUGUCUUCAGAGCGGAGGAUGGCCUGCGGAAGCACGCCGAGCGCCGUUUGCAAAUUGGACACGCAAAAGUUUUGCACAUCUCGGUCACAACCCUUCAGCUCCGCACGCACCACCGUUUUCUCCAGCAUUGUGAAUUCACACUUUUGACCUACAACACAAAAACAGUGUUUUUUAUUUUAUAUGGAAGGAGAAAUUGGAAAUUUAAAUUAUAUAUUCAAAAUUUUUGUUAAUUUAAAAAUAAAGCUGGAAAUAAAUCCCCA